AUCACUUGUUCAGACAUCCUUCAUAACUAAAACACAUUCAUCAGACGCACCGUAGCAAUGGUAGGAGUAACAAGUCCCUGGUCAGUCCCUCGUUGGAUGAUGGUCAGCAUCUUCCUGAUUGGUUGGAUUCACCUAACAGCAGGAAAGUGCCAACACUAUGGUCACGCUUGUCUCGGAGCCCAUGGAAAGAAACGAGCCGAAGGAACUGUUACUAUGGAUUCAAUCCCAUUGUCACAACAAAAUUCCCUGUCAAUUCCACGACAUCUUUCUCUCCUGGUCAACGAAGAUUCAUCUGAAGAAAUAAUGAAGACUUCCGCUAUCGAGCCAGGUGACCAUUUGGCGGCUCAAACCCCCCGUCUGAUUGGUAGACGUUUGCCUCCUCGAUUCAUAUUCACCAUAAUGACGUCGCAACGUAAUAGAGGAUGACUUCCCCACGUACUCAACGGCCGUUGAAUCAUUCUUUUCAAUGCCUGCAAAUUAAAAGAUAAAGAAAAUAAAUAACUAUCACCCAACACGGACUCAGUUGGCUAUCGGCUGGCUCUUGGCGCUCAUUCCCUUUAUGUAAAAUCUCAAUACAGAAAUCUGCAUCAAACCUGUCCUUAAAGAUGACCUGUCCAUGUUCUAAUUCUGCCAAAUUAGUAGUAACAUCUAGAUUGUUCAUUGUAGUUUCAUGAAUAGAUGAUGGAUAUAGUACAUUCAGGUGUGAAUCUAAUGCUGUUUCACUAAUAUCCACCUAUACCUUCACAAGUAAAGAAUGUUAAACUUUGUUCAGCUAUCCAAAUAUAAACCACACACAAAAAUGUUAA